AUUUGAUCUUUUAAUCUCCAGAAGAUUAUUUAAAAUCAUCGAAGACGAUUAAGUUGGCAUACGGUGUGUUCAUUGCUAAGAGUGCACUGUAUGGCCUUGUCAUCUUUGUGUUCGUCUGGCGAAAGGGUUCAUCUGGAAAAUGAAUGAACUAAACA